rnacentral:rRNA from 1 species
UACGAAGGUCCCAAGCGUUGUUCGGAAUCACUGGGCGUAAAGCGCACGUAGGCGGCUCUUUAAGUCAGGGGUGAAAUCCUGGAGCUCAACUCCAGAACUGCCUUUGAUACUGAGGGGCUUGAGUCCGGGAGAGGUGAGUGGAACUGCGAGUGUAGAGGUGAAAUUCGUAGAUAUUCGCAAGAACACCAGUGGCGAAGGCGGCUCACUGGCCCGGUACUGACGCUGAGGUGCGAAAGCGUGGGGAGCAAACAGG